GCCUACGACCAUACCACGUUGAGAACACCCCAUCUCGUCCGAUCUGGGUACGAAGUUACGCAACGUCGGGCCCGGUUAGUACUUGGAUGGGUGACCGCCUGGGAAUACCGGGUGUUGUAGGCG
ensembl:rRNA 5S_rRNA 5S ribosomal RNA